AUGGGGGGACGGAUCGCGGAAGGUUGUCUGACUGUUGGAAUAGUCAGUUUCUGUCUCAUAGAAGGCGCUUAGGCAAAUCCGGGCGCGGAAUUCAAGGGGAUGGGACGAGUGAACUUGUUCACGAAGCAAUCGGAAGUGGUUCCAAGAAAAGCCUCUAAGCUUCAGUCAUACGAGACCGUACCGCAAACCGACACAGGUGGGCGAGAUGAGUAUU
rnacentral:rRNA from 1 species